rnacentral:rRNA from 1 species
AUACGGAGGAUCCGAGCGUUAUCCGGAUUUAUUGGGUUUAAAGGGUGCGCAGGCGGCCAUUUAAGUCAGCGGUUAAAUCGUGGGGCUCAACCCCAUUCUGCCGUUGAUACUGGGUGGCUUGAUUGCGGUCGAGGUUGGCGGAAUUCGUUGUGUAGCGGUGAAAUGCAUAGAUAUGACGAAGAACACCGAUUGCGUAGGCAGCUGACCAGACCGCAAAUGACGCUCAUGCACGAAAGUGCGGGGAUCGAACAGGAUUAGAUACCCUGGUAGUCCGCACAGUAAACGAUGAAUACUUGUUUUCGGCGAUAUAAUGUCGGAGGCAAAGCGAAAGCGAUAAGUAUUCCACCUGGGGAGUACGCCGGCAACGGUGA